rnacentral:rRNA from 1 species
GGAAUAUUGGGCAAUGGGGGAAACCCUGACCCAGCAACGCCGCGUGAAGGAAGAAGGCUUUCGGGUUGUAAACUUCUUUUACCAGGGACGAAGAAAGUGACGGUACCUGGAGAAAAAGCCACGGCUAACUACGUGCCAGCAGCCGCGGUAAUACGUAGGUGGCAAGCGUUGUCCGGAUUUACUGGGUGUAAAGGGCGUGUAGGCGGAGAUUCAAGUCAGGAGUGAAAUCUAUGGGCUUAACCCAUAAACUGCUUUUGAAACUGAAUCCCUUGAGUAUCGGAGAGGCAGGCGGAAUUCCUAGUGUAGCGGUGAAAUGCGUAGAUAUUAGGAGGAACACCAGUGGCGAAGGCGGCCUGCUGGACGACAACUGACGCUGAGGCGCGAAAGCGUGGGGAGCAAACA